UGUCAAAACUCCUAGUAAUUUCUCAAAACAAAAAUGGAAAAAUUGUUUAUUCGGAGUUAAAUGGAAUAUUUACUAACCCUUGUUUGGAGCAUAUGUUAUUUUCAGUUCUAUAUAAAAUAAAUUAUGCCAACUUUUAGCGGCCCGUAAAAACAACGCAAUACCAGAAUAUUUCCAGUCCAGCCUUUCGGAAUCAAAGCGUUGGAUAUAGGAUUAGUUUAAAAUUGUCAGGAAACCGCUCAUACGUGCUGAGUUUUGAGGAAUUGUUUCCGGACCAAAUUUUUCAACGUCACAUCAACUAGCGUUCUGAUACCAACUGCUGAGGGUGAGAAUGUUCCGUGUGUAAAAAAAAGCUGG